UACGUAGGGUGCAAGCGUUAAUCGGAAUUACUGGGCGUAAAGCGUGCGCAGGCGGUUAUGUAAGACAGAUGUGAAAUCCCCGGGCUCAACCUGGGAACUGCAUUUGUGACUGCAUAGCUUGAGUGCGGCAGAGGGGGAUGGAACUCCGCGUGUAGCAGUGAAAUGCGUAGAUAUGCGGAAGAACACCGAUGGCGAAGGCAAUCCCCUGGGCCUGCACUGACGCUCAUGCACGAAAGCGUGGGGAGCAAACAGG
rnacentral:rRNA from 1 species